rnacentral:tRNA from 1 species
GGUUGUAUAGUGUAGUGGUUAGCACGUGGGAUUUUGAUUCCCGAAUCCCCGGUUCGAGCCCGGGUACGACCU